GUUGGCAAAGAUAUAGAGAAAUGAAUACCAUGAACACCAACAGUACACUGUUGUUGAGAAUAUGAACUGAUACAGGCAUUUUUUUUAAUUAAAAAAAUUUCUUAGUUCUAAUCAGUUAUACAUGGCAGCAAAAAGCUCAUCAAUUCAUUGUGCACAUAUGAAGCCCAAUUUUUCACUUCUCUGGUUGUACAUGAAGUAGAGUCACAUCAUUCGUGCAAUCAUACAUGUACCUAGGAUAAUGAUGUCCAUCCCAUUCCACUAUCUUUCCUAACUCCAUGACCUCUCCCCCACAUUUGCCCCACCCAAAGUUCCUCCACUCAUCCUGUGCUCCCCAUGCCCCACUAUGGAUUAGCAUCCACUUAUCAGAGAAAAUAUUUGGCUCCUGGUUUUUGGGGAUUGGAUAAUUUCCCAUAGCAUGAUAUUCUCCAACUCCAUCCAUUUACCUGCAAAUGCCAUAAUUUUAUUCUCUUUUAAUGCUGAGUAAUAUUCCAUUGUGUAUAUGUACCACAUUUUCUUUAUCCAUUUAUCUGUUGAAGGGCACCUACUCUGGUUACUUAGUCUAGCUAUUGUGAAUUGAGCUGCUAUGAACAUUGAUGUGGCUGCAUCACUGUUGUAUGCUGAUUUUAAGUCCUUAGGGUAUAGACUGAGGAAUGGGAGAACUGGGUCAAAUGGUGGUUCCAUUCUAAGUUUUCUAAAGAGUCUCCAUACUGCCUUCCAGAUUGGUGGCACCAAUUUGCAGUCCUAACAGCAAUGUAUGAGUGUGCCUUUCCCCCACAUCCUCACCAACAAUUAUUUUUGCUUGUAUUCUUGAUAACUGCCAUUCUCACUGAUGUGAGAUGAAAUCUUAUAGUAGUUUUGAUUUGCAUUUCUCUAAUUACUAGAGGUGUUGAACCUUUUUUAUAUAUAUUUGUUGAUUGGUUGUAUAUCCUCUUCUGAGAAGUGUCUCUUCACCUCUUUAGCCCAUUUAUUUAUUGGGUUGUUUAUUUUUUUGGUGUUAAGCUUUUUGAAUUAUUUAUAUAUCCUGGAGAUUAGUGCUCUAUCUAAUAUGUGUGUGGCAAAAAUUUACUCCUAAAACGUACACUCUCUCUUUAUCUCAUUGAUUGUUUCUUUUUCUGAGAAAAAGUUUUUUAGUUUGAAUCCAUCCCAUUUAUUGAUUCUUGAUUUUAUUUAUUCACUUUAGAAGCCUUGUU
rnacentral:lncRNA from 1 species